rnacentral:rRNA from 1 species
AUGGCGCAGGUGGCGAAGGCUAGGCGGUCUGAAUCAGGAGCACGGGGCCGACGACUGGGGCGCACGGCCAGAUCAGGACGAGGCAGAGGAGCUCCAAGGCGCCAGCCUUGGCGGCCUCUGGGUUCAUCGCCGAUUAGGGGGUGCUGCGCUGUCCAGCCACCACGGCCCCGCGCACGUGCGGCUCUUGGCUAG